rnacentral:hammerhead_ribozyme from 1 species
AUAAUGCUGAAGAGUCCAAAACUAGGACGAAACAGCUGUCCAGUAA